rnacentral:rRNA from 1 species
UACGUAGGGACCGAGCGUUGUCCGGAAUCAUUGGGCGUAAAGAGCGUGUAGGCGGCUUGCUAAGUCUUGCGUGAAAUCUCGGGGCUCAACCCCGAGCGGUCGUGGGAAACUGGCAGGCUAGAGUGCGGGAGAGGAGAAUGGAAUUCCAGGUGUAGCGGUGAAAUGCGUAGAUAUCUGGAGGAACACCGGUGGCGAAGGCGGCAUCCUGGACCAUUACUGACACUGAAAAGCGAAAGCCAGGGGAGCAAACGGG